rnacentral:rRNA from 1 species
CAGGCUUAACACAUGCAAGUCGAGGGGCAGCAUGGUCUUAGCUUGCUAAGGCCGAUGGCGACCGGCGCACGGGUGAGUAACGCGUAUCCAACCUGCCUUACACUCUUGGACAGCCUUCUGAAAGGGAGAUUAAUACAAGAUGUUAUCAUGAGUAAGCAUUUUCGCAUGAUUAAAGGUUUACCGGUGUAAGAUGGGGAUGCGUUCCAUUAGAUAGUAGGCGGGGUAACGGCCCACCUAGUCUUCGAUGGAUAGGGGUUCUGAGAGGAAGGUCCCCCACAUUGGAACUGAGACACGGUCCAAACUCCUACGGGAGGCAGCAGUGAGGAAUAUUGGUCAAUGGACGAGAGUCUGAACCAGCCAAGUAGCGUGAAGGAUGAAGGUUCUAUGGAUUGUAAACUUCUUUUAUACGGGAAUAAACGAAUCCACGUGUGGAUUUUUGCAUGUACCGUAUGAAUAAGGAUCGGCUAACUCCGUGCCAGCAGCCGCGGUAAUACGGAGGAUCCGAGCGUUAUCCGGAUUUAUUGGGUUUAAAGGGAGCGUAGAUGGGUUGUUAAGUCAGUUGUGAAAGUUUGCGGCUCAACCGUAAAAUUGCAAUUGAUACUGGCAGUCUUGAGUACAGUUGAGGUAGGCGGAAUUCGUGGUGUAGCGGUGAAAUGCUUAGAUAUCACGAAGAACUCCGAUUGCGAAGGCAGCUUACUAACCUGUAACUGACAUUGAUGCUCGAAAGUGUGGGUAUCAAACAGGAUUAGAUACCCUGGUAGUCCACACGGUAAACGAUGAAUACUCGCUGUAGGCGAUAUACAGUCUGCGGCCAAGCGAAAGCAUUAAGUAUUCCACCUGGGGAGUACGCCGGCAACGGUGAAACUCAAAGGAAUUGACGGGGGCCCGCACAAGCGGAGGAACAUGUGGUUUAAUUCGAUGAUACGCGAGGAACCUUACCCGGGCUUAAAUUGCAACCGAAUAUGGCGGAAACGCUAUAGCUAGCAAUAGCGGUUGUGAAGGUGCUGCAUGGUUGUCGUCAGCUCGUGCCGUGAGGUGUCGGCUUAAGUGCCAUAACGAGCGCAACCCUUGCCGAUAGUUACUAACAGGUCAUGCUGAGGACUCUGUCGGGACUGCCAUCGUAAGAUGUGAGGAAGGUGGGGAUGACGUCAAAUCAGCACGGCCCUUACGUCCGGGGCUACACACGUGUUACAAUGGGGGGUACAGAGGGCUGCUACCACGCAAGUGGAUGCCAAUCCCAAAAACCUCUCUCAGUUCGGAUUGAAGUCUGCAACCCGACUUCAUGAAGCUGGAUUCGCUAGUAAUCGCGCAUCAGCCACGGCGCGGUGAAUACGUUCCCGGGCCUUGUACACACCGCCCGUCAAGCCAUGGGAGCCGGGGGUACCUGAAGUGCGUAACCGCAAGGAGCGCCCUAGGGUAAAACUGGUGACUGGGGCUAAGU